GAAAGUAAGAAAGGGCGUAUGGCGGAUGCCUAGGCUCACGGAGGCGAUGAAGGACGUGAUAAGCUGCGAUAAGCUUCGGGUAGGUGCAAAUAACCUUUGAUCCGGAGAUUUCCGAAUGGGACAACCUAGCCGUCUGAAGGACGGUUACUCGAUCUUCAAGAUUGAGAGCUAACGCAGGGAACUGAAACAUCUUAGUACCUGCAGGAAGAGAAAAUAAAUGAAUGAUUCCCCCAGUAGUGGCGAGCGAACGGGGAACAGCCCAAACCAGUGGCGUCGCAAGGCGUGGCUGGGGUUGUAGGACCGCGACAUUGUAUUGAAAUGGUGAGUGGAAGUAUCUGGAAAGUUACAUCACAGAAGGUGAUAAUCCUGUACACGAAGCCAAAUCAAGCAUAGCGGUAUCCUGAGUAACGCGGGACACGAGGAAUCCUGCGCGAAUCUGCCGGGACCAUCCGGUAAGGCUAAAUACUCCCGUGAGACCGAUAGCGAACGAGUACUGUGAAGGAAAGGUGAAAAGAACCCCGAGCAGGGGAGUGAAAUAGUUCCUGAAACCAUGCGCCUACAAGCGGUCGGAGCAUCUUACGAUGUGACGGCGUGCCUUUUGCAUAAUGAUCCUACGAGUUACCGUCACUGGCGAGGUUGAGUACCAUGAGGUACGUAGCCGCAGUGAAAGCGAGCCUGAAGAGGGCGCACAGUCAGUGGGGGUAGACGCGAAACCAAGUGAUCUACACUUGGCCAGGAUGAAGUCCCGGUAACACGGGAUGGAGGUCCGCACCAAUAAGCGUUGAAAAGCUUCUGGAUGAGCCGAGUGUAGGAGUGAAAGGCCAAUCAAACUUGGAGAUAGCUCGUACUCCCCGAAAGGCAUUUAGGUGCCGCGUCGGAUGGUCACCGUGAGAGGUAGAGCGACCGAUAGGACAAGAGGGCUUCACCGCCUAUCGAGUCCUGACGAACUCCGAAUGCUCACGGUUCGCAGUCCGGCAGUAAGGGGGCGGGUGCUAAGGUCCGUCCCCGAGAGGAGAAGAAUCCAGACCGCCGUCUAAGGUCCCGGAGUUCUGCCUGAGUUAGUCUAACGAAGUCUGGUCCCUAUGACAGCUAGGAUGUUGGCUUGGAAGCAGCCAUUCAUUCAAAGAGUGCGUAACAGCUCACUAGUCGAGGGUCCGGGCAUGGAUAAUAAUCGGGUAUAAGGCAGACACCGAAGGCGCGGGAUAGCAAUUAUGAAAGUAUCGGUAGGGGAGCAUACUCACAGCGUCGAAUGGUGUACGUAAGUUAUCCUGGAGCGGUGAGUAAAGCAAAUGUAGGAAUAAGUAACGAUAAGGAGGGUUAGAUUCCCUCCCGCUGUAAGACCAAGGUUUCCCGGGCAAUGCCAAUCAGCCCGGGGUCAGUCGGGUCCUAAGUCUAAGCCGAACGGCGAUGGCGAUGGCAGAGACGGUUAAUAUUCCGUCACUGCCGCAUGGGGCGACGUGGAGACGGAGCAGUGAAACCACCGCGGGGCGACGGAAGUCCCCGUUGAAGAGUGUAGGUGUUGAGGAGAGCAGGCAAAUCCACUCUCCGAGCUGAACCUGAUAGUACGGAGUCCUCUUCGGAGGAAUCUGAUAGUGUGGGUAAUCAUACUCCCGAGAAAAUCCGCUAAGCUUNNNNNNNNNNGUUGAGGAUGGCAGGCAAAUCCACCAUCCGAGCUGAACUUGACAGUAUGGAGUCUUCUUCGGAAGAAUCCAAUAGUGUGGGUAAUCAUACUCCCGAGAAAAUCCGCUAAGCUUAACCCAUGCGGCACCCGUACCGCAAACGGACACACGUGGUCGGGUAGAACAUACUAAGGCGUUGAGAGAUUCAUGGUUAAGGAACUAGGCAAAUUGACCCUGUAACUUCGGGAUAAAGGGUCCUCGUGAUGAGCGAGGCGCAGAGAAUAGGUCCAGGCAACUGUUUAACAAAAACACAGGGCUGUGCAAACUCGAAAGAUGAGGUAUACAGCCUGACACCUGCCCGGUGCCGGAAGGUUAAGAGGAGAUGUCACCAGCAAUGGGAAGCAUUGAAUUGAAGCCCCGGUAAACGGCGGCCGUAACUAUAACGGUCCUAAGGUAGCGAAAUUCCUUGUCGGGUAAGUUCCGACCUGCACGAAUGGUGUAAUGAUCCGGACGCUGUCUCAACCAUGAGCUCAGUGAAAUUGUAGUAUCGGUGAAGAUGCCGAUUACCCGCGAUGGGACGAAAAGACCCCGUGAACCUUUACUACAGCUUAGCAUUGACCUUGGUCAUCCGAUGUGUAGGAUAGGCCGGAGGCUUUGAAGCGGGAGCGCCAGCUUUCGUGGAGCCAUCCUUGAAAUACGGCCCUUUGGCUGUCUGAGGUCUAACGCGCGAUGCGCGGACACUGCUUGGUGGGUAGUUUGACUGGGGUGGUCGCCUCCAAAAGCGUAACGGAGGCUUCCAAAGGUGCCCUCGGGUCGAUUGGUAACCGACCUCAAAGAGUGCAAUGGCAUAAGGGCGCUUGACUGGGAGGCAGACAUGCCGAGCAGGCAGGAAACUGGGGCAUAGUGAUCCGGCGGAUGUGUAUGGAAACUCCGUCGCUCAAAGGAUAAAAGGUACUCCGGGGAUAACAGGCUGAUCCCCCCCAAGAGCUCAUAUCGACGGGGUGGUUUGGCACCUCGAUGUCGGCUCGUCACAUCCUGGGGCUGGAGAAGGUCCCAAGGGUUGGGCUGUUCGCCCAUUAAAGUGGCACGCGAGCUGGGUUCAGAACGUCGUGAGACAGUUCGGUCUCUAUCUAUCGUGGGCGUGGGAGUUUUGAGUGGUGCCGUCACUAGUACGAGAGGACCGUGAUGGACAGACCUCCGGUUUACCAGUUGUGCCGCCAGGCGCACCGCUGGGUAUCUGAGUCUGGAUUGGAUAAGCGCUGAAAGCAUCUAAGUGCGAAGCCAGCCGCAAGAUGAGAACUCCAUUGAGGGUCGUCAAAGACGAUGACGUUGAUAGGAUGCAGGUGUAAAGACAGCGAUGUCAAAGCCGAGCAUUACUAAUUGCCCGAACACUUUCUUUA
rnacentral:rRNA from 1 species